AGCAGCCGCGGUAAUUCCAGCUCCAAUAGCGUAUAUUAAAGUUGUUGCAGUUAAAAAGCUCGUAGUUGAAUUUCGGGAUCUGUCUAUCGGUCGGGCUUUAUUGUCCGCACUGGUUUGAUGGAUUCUUACCUUCUGAAUAACCAUCAUGCCAUUAAUUUGGUGCGUUGGGGAAGCAGAGCUAUUACCUUGAAAAAUUAGAGUGCUUAAAGCAGGCUAGUGCUUGAAUAGAUUAGCAUGGAAUAAUAAAAUAGGACGGCAUGGUUCUAUUUUGUUGGUUUCUAGGAUCACCGUAAUGAUUAAUAGGGAUAGUUGGGGGCAUUAGUAUUCAAUUGUCAGAGGUGAAAUUCUUGGAUUUAUUGAAGACUAACUACUGCGAAAGCAUUUGCCAAGGAUGUUUUCAUUAAUCAAGAACGAAAGUUAGGGGAUCGAAGACGAUCAGAUACCGUCGUA
rnacentral:rRNA from 1 species